AGGACAAACGCUGGCGGCGUACCUAAGACAUGCAAGUCGAACGGGCGUGCAGAGUCUUCGGAGAUGCAGUGAGUGGCGAACGGGUGAGUAACGCGUAGGAACCCGCCUCGACGUGGGGGAUACCACUUGGAAACAGGUGCUAAUACCGCAUGUGGUCUGUGAGGAAGAAAGGCUCGAGUAAUCGAGUCGCGUUGAGAGGGGCCUGCGUCCGAUUAGCUAGUUGGUAGGGUAAAGGCUUACCAAGGCGACGAUCGGUAGCUGGUCUGAGAGGAUGGUCAGCCACACUGGGACUGAGACACGGCCCAGACUCCUACGGGAGGCAGCAGUUAGGAAAUUUUUGCCAA
rnacentral:rRNA from 1 species